CCUAAUGGGCCUCGGACUGACAUUCACAGCAACCUGGUCUCCAUAGCAACCAGCUGUGACAUCACAAGGAACCCACGGACCCUGUAGCUGGAGCAGAGGAAGCUUGAAUGCCUGUUUGGGGAAGAAAGCCUUUGCUGCCCAUCCUUAGGCCUCUCCUGUGAUAGGGGAAGAGGACAUAGAAACGCUGAGAGAGCCAGGGCCUCCGCUUCUCUGGAGGUAUUCCCCCUUCUGUAAGUGGAAGGAAAGGAAGCACAGCAGAAGGAUUGGAAUCAAGACAGCCUGGCUCCAGAGCCUGUUUUCAUAACUACGAGAGAAUGCACCAGAUUCCUUCUGAACGCCGCCUGCCGCGUGCACGGCUACAACUCUAUUUCCAGCCAUGCUGUGGCAAGCAGUUCCGGGCGGGCUUCAGCUCCCUUUGCACCACCAGCACCUCGCCUCCUGUCAGCAUGAGGCAGUUUUCAUUUUCUGCCCAGGGGCUUCCGCAGCGCCCCAACACAAGGUUGGCAGAAGCGGGCUCAGCCGGAGGACUUGUGGAGGGAAGUUGCUUCCACUGAGCCAGCCUCAAUCUGGGGUGCACAGGCGCCACCAGGUGAAUGCUUCUGCCAGGCCGUCAUCUGACCCAUAAGGUCCCUCUGUGCACUGCUUGGAAGGUCCUGGCAGGGCUGAGCCCCAGCCACCCACGGCAGUGACCUAAUAAUGCACCGUUAUCUUGGCUCUUCUGCUCUCUCUUGUUUCCCACUCCUGUUCGUCCCUCAUUUCUGGUCCCUAGAAUGACUUCCAAAAUAAACUCCCUGU
rnacentral:lncRNA from 10 species